CCAAAUCGCCCUGACCUCUUCGUUGAGCAGCUGCCUCCAUCCACAUCGCCAUGGCAGCACCGUCAAGCUCUUCUUCCUCAGCGAAUAGGCAUCAGGUGAAUCCUGAGAUCCCUCUCAUAACCUCCACAGAUUCCAGCUGCUUCAAGGUCUUGGAGCUGGUGGUGCAGAGCAAUGAGAAUGGGAACAAGAGGCGGGUGUUCUACAGGUGCCCUGGUGGUGGGAAGCAUGGCCGUGGUUGCCAAUUCUACAGGUGGCCAUGGAACAAAAGAAGCAGUGACAAGAAGAGAACAAGAACAGGGAAGAAGUGAGGAUCAGUAAUCUGAUUGGAACUGAAGAUGAACAUAUUAAUAGACAUUGUGAAAGAAGUAGUUCUGCUUUUGAAGUGUAUUGCCCUUGUUUGUGUGUGUGGAGUGAUGUGGAAUGUGUAUGCUAGUACGAGGAUGUGAAAUAUGUAUCAUGUAUGUGUGUUUCUCUUAAAUGGAUCAAUGAAAAUAAGGCACUUUGCA